rnacentral:rRNA from 1 species
UACGAAGGGGGCUAGCGUUGUUCGGAAUUACUGGGCGUAAAGCGCACGUAGGCGGAUCGAUCAGUCAGGGGUGAAAUCCCAGGGCUCAACCCUGGAACUGCCUUUGACACUGUCGAUCUGGAGUAUGGAAGAGGUGAGUGGAAUUCCGAGUGUAGAGGUGAAAUUCGUAGAUAUUCGGAGGAACACCAGUGGCGAAGGCGGCUCACUGGUCCAUUACUGACGCUGAGGUGCGAAAGCGUGGGGAGCAAACAGG